rnacentral:rRNA from 1 species
UACGGAGGAUCCAAGCGUUAUCCGGAAUCAUUGGGUUUAAAGGGUCCGUAGGCGGUUUAAUAAGUCAGUGGUGAAAUCUGGUCGCUCAACGAUCAAACGGCCAUUGAUACUGUUAGACUUGAAUUAUUGGGAAGUAACUAGAAUAUGUAGUGUAGCGGUGAAAUGCUUAGAUAUUACAUGGAAUACCAAUUGCGAAGGCAGGUUACUACCAAAUAUAUUGACGCUGAUGGACGAAAAGCGUGGGGAGCGAACAGG